GUGCAAAUCGCCUGAUACACUACUUGUAGGUAUGUGAAUAUAUAUGAGUCAGCAAUAUGCCUCCCUGGCAUAACAGGAAGA
rfam:Bacteroides faecichinchillae strain DSM 26883 genome assembly, contig: Ga0131157_132